rnacentral:rRNA from 1 species
AUUGAACGCUGGCGGCAUGCUUUACACAUGCAAGUCGAACGGUAACAGGUUAAGCUGACGAGUGGCGAACGGGUGAGUAAUGCAUCGGAACGUGCCCGGUCGUGGGGGAUAACGCAGCGAAAGCUGCGCUAAUACCGCAUACGAUCUGAGGACGAAAGCGGGGGACCGUAAGGCCUCGCGCGAUCGGAGCGGCCGAUGUCAGAUUAGGUAGUUGGUGGGGUAAAGGCUCACCAAGCCAACGAUCUGUAGCUGGUCUGAGAGGACGACCAGCCACACUGGGACUGAGACACGGCCCAGACUCCUACGGGAGGCAGCAGUGGGGAAUUUUGGACAAUGGGCGAAAGCCUGAUUCAGCAAUGCCGCGUGCAGGAAGAAGGCCUUCGGGUUGUAAACUGCUUUUGUACGGAGCGAAAAGGUCUCCUCUAAUACAGGGGGCUCAUGACGGUACCGUAAGAAUAAGCACCGGCUAACUACGUGCCAGCCGCCGCGGUAA